UUAAGUCCGGACGGAGCCUGAGGUGGGAUCGCCUGGGUCCCUUCCACAUCUGCUGUUCCUUAAACAAGUUCUCACACAGUCACAAGGCUGGGAAAGCUGACCCAUGGGACUUCAGGGAUCUCCUUCAAGGCUUCUACUGUCCUCAGUGCUGGGGCUGCCCCUGCCUUAAGAGUGCCUGAGAAACCUAGCAUCACAGUGAGUCCUCCAGACCCUCACCCACUCUGCCAGGGACACCAGGUCUGUCUUCCCGUACUUGCCGCCGCACCAAAAAAAUCAAAACCCAAGCUGAGAAUACUAGGAAGCAUCACCGUACAGCACGGAAAGAAAUAAUGAAAACAAAUCAACAGCCACACACUGGGACUCACCCUGCCCCAGGACCCAGGAGCCAGGAGUGUGGGUGAUUGUCAAGUCUGGGGAUGGGUCACCUCUUGGCGGACCCACCCCUCCCUUCUUCCCUCUUGGGGCUGAAUGGGGUAGAGAAUUCAGACUCUCCUUGGGAGUCUCAG